UUUUCUUUCUUUCUUUUUUUUUUUUUUUUUUUACUUUCUGUCCUCACAGUCUGUUCCCAAAAACUAUGUUUUUCCACUGUGAAUUAUUUUCAGGAUCAUGAUUCUCGUAACUGGGAAGGGAAUAUCUUACUGAGUUUGAGGUGUUAGUAGAGUCCCAGAAAUACCUUGAGGGCGUUUGAUAGUAAGACUAAAUGUUAGUACUUGUUCACCCAAAUUCUGAGAUUCUUGGUUCUCUGAACCAUCCUACUUAUUUGUCUUUAGGUUCAACUGAUCUCUGGGCUUGGUUUGUACUACAAAGGCAUGGACACCGCCAGUUACAUUAUCACGUACCUUCUUCCACCCUUCGUUUAUCAUAUCUGAGAACUCCUCUGAGUAGGUUCUGUUCUGAGAACAGUUUCAUUCUGAUUGUCAAAGGGAGUUAGUAUUCUAACUCCAGAGGGGUUACAAAGUUGAGGUAUAGUCAUCUCUGUUUAGAAUGUUUGAAUUUUUGUAAUGACAAAACCGAAGGGAAAAUGACCAGGCAAAACAAUAGUUUGUUGAAUAAUUACUGCUCACUUAAGAUGAGAUGAGCGGGCACCCCCAUGUAGGCCAGAAUAUCUAUUAGGAAAUGCACGUGAUGUAAAAGGAUGGGAAGAAAGCAAAUCAGUCUGUUAAUGGUAGCUUGGGUUAAUACUGCAGAGCCUUUGAGUAUUGAGGAACUGCUGAAGUGUUCAGAGCAGGGAAGUAGUAUGAUCAAAGCAGUGCUUCAGGAGGGUUAAUUUGCCUACAGAUUGCAGAAAUGCCUCAAUACUUGGCACCAGCCCUUACGUGUAGUUUUAGGGUUUCUAGUCAUUUGUUGUGGGAGUGGCAGAAAGGAGCAAGGCCAGUCCAGAGGCUAUUUUCAUCCCCCAGGGAUCAGGAAAUAUGAAGCUGAGUGGGAAUGCUAACUAGGAAUUAAAAAAAAAAAAAAAA
rnacentral:lncRNA from 1 species